rnacentral:tRNA from 1 species
GGCCUAUUAGCUCAGUUGGUUAGAGCGUCGUGCUAAUAACGCGAAGGUCACAGGUUCGAUCCCCGUAUAGGCCA